AAGACUAUAGACCUGCGGAGUACCUGCGGAAGGAUCAUUACUGAGUGAGGGCCCUCUGGGUCCAACCUCCCACCCGUGUUUAUUGUACCUUGUUGCUUCGGUGGGCCCGCCGUUAAGGCCGCCGGGGGCUUUUGUCCCGGGCCCGCGCCCACCGAAGACAAACUGAACUCUGUCUGAAUGUUGCAGUCUGAGUAAAAACUUAAUAAGUUAAAACUUUUAACAAUGGAUCUCUAGAUCGGA
rnacentral:misc_RNA from 1 species